CAAAAGAAUAGAUGCUCCAGAAUUGUUAUUGCAUGGGGAAUGCAUGAAGUUACUAAAACGGGCCUGUCAGGAGAGGUGAAAGGUCCUCUUUAAGGGUUGGAUCCACACCUGUAGUUUCUGGACCAUUUUUUUUUUUUUUUUUGUAACGUCAGGAGUGGAUUCAAAAGGAAUAACUCAAAACUUGGUGCAAUUCCUAGCCUCAGCCUGUAUCUGACAUGCACCCUUCAGGGCAGGCAGCGGUCUAGUCUGCAGGAGUACACUGCACCCCCCAGUGCACUACCCAGAGCGGCCACUGGAUGGCAGGAAAGCACUGAGGACCAUCGAUCACUAAUCAGUGUCUCAGGUCUCCAGGAUUAGUUGUUAAAAGUAAAUGAACCCUUAGCUAUCUGCAAGGAAACUCUUAUCUGUGGAUCAUCCAUUAUAUACCUUGUUAAAAGCUUUCCCAGGCUGAAUUCUAUUUCUCUCUGCUGUUCAGGAAUCUGAAAAAGCUGGGUGGCAACCCCUGUUAGAACAGUAACACCUAUAUAAGUUGUAGCUCAGCUUUCCCAGGAGCAGAUAUUCAGAGCUGCAUUCAUAAUUCUCAGGUUACAUCAUGUGUUACACUCCAGUCACAUCCAGAGCUGCAUUCAUAAUUCUCCUGUUUUGUCUUAAACUCCAGUCACAUCUAAAGCCACACUUCACACAAGUCUUCUGUUAUGCAAUGUGACAUGUUUGGUGACUUACAGCACAGAAGGGUCACUUUAGGGUCCCCACUCCUUCUCCUGUCAUGUCUCCUGGUCCGGUUCUGUUGGUUUUCAGUGGUGAAGUCACAUUUGCUGUCUUUACAACCCUGGUCACACUCGGUCAUCAUGGUCACACCAUUCAGGUCAUGUGAUGCACAUUGGGUACAUGUCUGUUGUGUGCAGUUUCCAUUGAUUUCUUUUGAAUGCAACACCGUGCACUGAUACUAUGUAUACGCACUGUGCACUGAUACUAUGUAUACACACCGUGCACUGAUACUAUGUAUACACACUGUGCACUGAUACUAUGUAUACACACUGUGCGCUGAUACUAUGUAUACACACUGUGCGCUGAUACUAUGUAUACACACCGUGCACUGAUACUAUGUAUACACACACUGUGCACUGAUACUAUGUAUACACACUGUGCACUGAUACUAUGUA